GCGAUCGUGGUGCAGCGGCAAGCACCUCUGGCUUCCACCCAGAAGACACGAGUACCCUUUGGGAAGCAAGCUACGAGUCUCGUCGAUCGCU
rnacentral:tRNA from 1 species